rnacentral:rRNA from 1 species
UUUGAGCGUGAUAUCUUCUCACCGCCUCCUUGAGGCAGUGGAAUUGCCAUGCCAAAGACUAGCCCUCAGCAAAGUUACGCUUCUGCUGACUGUUUGUCCCCUCAAAUCAGGUAGGAUUACCCGCUGAACUUAAGCAUAUCAAUAAGCGGAGGAAAAGAAACCAACAGGGAUUGCCUCAGUAACGGCGAGUGAAGCGGCAAGAGCUCAACUUUGGAAUCGCUCCGGCGAGUUGUAGUCUGGAGGCCGCCAGCCCCGGCUCCGUGUGCGCGGCUAAGUCCUCUGGAACGAGGCGCCAGCGAGGGUGACAGCCCCGUGGCCGCAAGCAGCAGGAGUCGCUUUGGCGAGCCGACGAGUCGAGUUGUUUGGGAAUGCAGCUCUAAGUGGGUGGUAAAUUCCAUCUAAAGCUAAAUACCGGCGAGAGACCGAUAGCGAACAAGUACAGUAAUGGAAAGAUGAAAAGCACUUUGAAAAGAGAGUGAAACAGUACGUGAAAUUGUUGAAAGGGAAGGGCUUGCAGGUAGACUACUGUCAGCAUCGGGUGGAGGGGAGCGAUAACGACCUUUUAAUGUAGCAACGCGCUCUGCGGGUUGUAUUAUAGAAUUGGUUAAUAGCUCCACCCCCGCCCGAGGAUCGCCUAUGAA